rnacentral:rRNA from 1 species
GGGACCAUCCCGCAAGGCUAAAUACUCUCUAAUGACCGAUAGCGAACUAAGUAGGGCGACUGAAAGGUGAGAAGAACCCCGGCUAGGGGAGGACACUGAACCUGAAACCAUGUGCCUACAAGCGGUCGGAGCACGAUUUAACGUGUGACGGCGUGCCUUUAGCAAAAUGAUCCGGCGAGUUACCGUUUAUGGCAGGUUAAGCCUCUCAGGGGCGUAGCCACAGGGAAACCGAGUCUUAAUAGGGCGUUAGUCAUGGGCGGUAGACGCGAAACCUGGUGA